rnacentral:lncRNA from 1 species
AAAAAUUGAUGGAACGGGAAAAAAAGCACUCACCGAAUGAGAAACACUCAGUUUGGUAUAAAAGAUGAAAUAGAAAAAAAAGAACUGAGUAACAAAAAUGAAAAAGAAAAGAACUAGAAAUGAUAUGUAGAACAAACACAGUGAAAAGAAUAAUGACAUUGACUCUAAACCCCAAACCACUUAUUUUUCCUUUUGUUUGUGUUUACCCCAC